rnacentral:rRNA from 1 species
UUCAGUGAAUCAUCGAAUCUUUGAACACACCUUGUGCUCCUUGGGUUACCUAUGGAGCAUGCCUGUUUGAGUGUCAUGUUAGUCUCAAUUCCCUCAGGCUCUUUUUAUACAAUAUGAAGGCCUGUUUAUAAUAGGGUAUUGGAUUUUGGAGGGCUUUAUGCAGGUCCCCUUGUAGGGAAUCAGCUCCCCCCUAAAAAUAUUAGCUGGAGGAUGAAGCAAAAAUGGGCUCUCUUAGCAUUGUUCAUUGGCUAUGGKGUAAUAAUUGUUUCAUCAUGGCAUUAUGAGUGAUUCAGUGCAAUGGGGGGGCAAUAUAUAUAUAUAGCUCCCAGGAGGCUUUUUGUUACAUUCUCUGCAUUUGAUUUGCCAGAUUUAUCCGGUAAUUCAUAUAUUCUCCUUUGGCCUCAAAUCAGGUAGGACUACCCGCUGAACUUAAGCAUAUCAUUAAGCGGAGGAAAAGAAACUAACAAGGAUUCCCCUAGUAACUGCGAGUGAAGCGGGAAGAGCUCAAAUUUAAAAUCUGGCAGUUCUGCUGUCCGAGUUGUAAUCUGUAGAAGCAUUUUCUGCAUUGGACUGUGUACAAGUCUCUUGGAAUAGAGCGUCAUAGAGGGUGAGAAUCCCGUCCAUGACACAGAAUACCAAUGCUAUGUGAUAUGCUCUCAAAGAGUCGAGUUGUUUGGGAAUGCAGCUCAAAAUGGGUGGUAAAUUCCAUCUAAAGCUAAAUACAGGCGAGAGACCGAUAGCGAACAAGUACCGUGAGGGAAAGAUGAAAAGCACUUGGAAAGAGAGU